rnacentral:lncRNA from 1 species
UGGACAAAAUUUAAACUACUGAUGGAAUUGAUAAAAAUGUAUUUUUUGUAUAUGCAUACAGUUCCUCUGCCUGAAAAACAUCCGGACAUUUCUGACGGCAUGUCACGAGAAGUUCGGGAUGAAGAAGAGCGAACUGUUCGAGGCCUUCGACCUGUUCGAUGUCCGAGACUUCGGCAAGGUAAUUGGAACGCUGUCCGUUCUGUCCCAAACACAUGUAGCAGUACAACGGGGAUACAGGCCAUUUCCUGAUGAAGUGUGUGUUGGAGACGACGACAUCUAUAACGGCCUCUCAGACCAAAUAGAGUGAGUCUAUCUCUGUGAAUGUACUGAUGAUAUAUUAGAAAACUAUUUAAAACAAUUAAAAGGAGGUUCUA